UCCCAGGGCGGGGAUCCGGCCAGGACGC
rnacentral:sRNA from 1 species